GCUCGCUCAUGCAGAUGAAUCCCCGGUCGCCACGCAUCACGGCGUAGUUAUGCGCGCGGGCGAUGAUGAACCCACCGGCAGCGGCGUGGCCGGUGACGGCGGCGAUGAUGGGCAUGGGGAGCGGGAUGAGGUCAGCAAUCGUGGCUCUGAGGAUGGAGCCAUGCGAUUGGAGGGGGAGACGUGGGCCCAGGUGAGGUCUAAGACGUUCGAGAAGGGGCCAGGUCUCUACUCCGAUAUCAGGAAGAAGGCCAAAGGGAUAUAAUUUUGAUCACGAGUUGAAAAUCUCGACCCAGAGCGCUUCCGGAGCGAAUUUUUGCAGUUGUUGCUGCUAAUGGAGGCAGAAAGACCUUCUUACAUGUUCUAUGAGGUCGAGCAAGAUAUAUGGAUGGUUAGAAUACAAACAUCUUUAUUACAACUGUGUUAUUAAUUAUAUUCCGUGGCUCAAUUUUUUUAAUUUGUGGAUUUGCGUAACUAUAGAAAUUAUACCUUAAACAAAAAAAUUUUCAUGCAUUUACUAUAAAAAUCAUACCUUAAAAAAAAAUUUCAUGCAUUUGCGUAACUAGAGAAAUCAUAUCUUAAACAAAAAAAUUUCAUGCAUUUGCGUAACUAGAGAAAUCAUAUCUUAAACAAAAAGUUUCAUGCAUUUGCGUAACUACAGAAAUCAUACCUUAAAAAAAAAAAAUUUUCA